CCUACGGGGGGCUGCAGUAGGGAAUCUUCCACAAUGGACGAAAGUCUGAUGGAGCAAUGCCGCGUGAGUGAAGAAGGUUUUCGGAUCGUAAAGCUCUGUUGUGAGGGAAGAACAAGUACGGGAGUAACUGUCCGUACCUUGACGGUACCUCAUUAGAAAGCCACGGCUAACUACGUGCCAGCAGCCGCGGUAAUACGUAGGUGGCAAGCGUUGUCCGGAAUUAUUGGGCGUAAAGCGCGCGCAGGCGGCCUUUUAAGUCUGAUGUGAAAGCCCCCGGCUCAACCGGGGAAGGUCAUUGGAAACUGAAAGGCUUGAGUACAGAAGAGGAAAGCGGAAUUCCACGUGUAGCGGUGAAAUGCGUAGAGAUGUGGAGGAACACCAGUGGCGAAGGCGGCUUUCUGGUCUGUAACUGACGCUGAGGCGCGAAAGCGUGGGGAGCAAACAGGAUUAGAUACCCUUGUAGUC
rnacentral:rRNA from 1 species